rnacentral:rRNA from 1 species
UACGGGGGGGGCAAGCGUUGUUCGGAAUUACUGGGCGUAAAGCGUGCGUAGUCGGUUAUUUAAGUCGGGCGUGAAAUCCCCAGGCUCAACCUGGGAACUGCGUCUGAUACUGGAUGGCUUGAGUUUGGGAGAGGGACGCGGAAUUCCAGGUGUAGCGGUGAAAUGCGUAGAUAUCUGGAGGAACACCGGUGGCGAAGGCGGCGUCCUGGACCAACACUGACACUGAGGAGCGAAAGCCAGGGGAGCAAACGGG